GACGAACGCUGGCGGCGUGCUUAACACAUGCAAGUCGAACGGAAAGGCCCUGCUUUUGUGGGGUGCUCGAGUGGCGAACGGGUGAGUAACACGUGAGUAACCUGCCCUUGACUUUGGGAUAACUUCAGGAAACUGGGGCUAAUACCGGAUAGGAGCUCCUGCUGCAUGGUGGGGGUUGGAAAGUUUCGGCGGUUGGGGAUGGACUCGCGGCUUAUCAGCUUGUUGGUGGGGUAGUGGCUUACCAAGGCUUUGACGGGUAGCCGGCCUGAGAGGGUGACCGGCCACAUUGGGACUGAGGUACGGCCCAGACUCCUACGGGAGGCAGGAGGGGGGAAUAUUGCACCAUGGGCGGAAGCCUGAAGCAGCAACGCCGCGUGCGGGAUGACGGCCUUCGGGUUGUAAACCGCUUUCGCCUGUGACGAAGCGUGAGUGACGGUAAUGGGUAAAGAAGCACCGGCUAACUACGUG
rnacentral:rRNA from 1 species